GUUUCAUCUUCAGCUGCUACAAGUGGAUUUAUGGGUCCAAAAAAAAGUGGAGUUAUGUUUUCGGAUGCACUGAAAAAAGUGUAAUGUGGUUGGAGAAGACUGGGGGGUUGGGGAGAGGGCGUUGUGCGGUGCACACAUCCCAGCCAUAAAGUCAAUAUAUACAACACUUUUAAAUGCUGUAAAGUAAGAAAAUAAAAUUUAAAUUUUUUAACACAUAUAAUAAUCAGUGUUUUUUGGGUUAAAGUAUUUAUAAGAAUGGAACAUUUCACUACGAGGGUGUUAAAACGUAACAAAGACAUCGACCCUUUAUUCUAAAAUAGACCACUAAUAUUUGGAAAUGGAAUGGAAGCAAAU